AGAUGCGAUCAUACCAGCACUAAAGCACCGGAUCCCAUCAGAACUCCGAAGUUAAGCUUGCUUGGGCGAGAGUAGUACUAGUAUGGGUGACCUCUUGGGAAGUCCUCGUGUUGCAUUCC
rnacentral:rRNA from 1 species